GUCGACUAGAGUUUGAUCCUGGCUCAGAUUGAACGCUAGCGGCAUGCUUUACACAUGCAAGUCGAACGGCAACGCGGGGUAACCUGGCGGCGAGUGGCGAACGGGUGAGUAAUACAUCGGAACGUGCCCUGUGAUGGGGGAUAACUACGCGAAAGCGUAGCUAAUACCGCAUACGACCUACGGGUGAAAGUGGGGGAUCGCAAGACCUCACGUCAUAGGAGCGGCCGAUGGCGGAUUAGCUAGUUGGUGAGGUAAAGGCUUACCAAGGCAACGAUCCGUAGCUGGUCUGAGAGGACGACCAGCCACACUGGGACUGAGACACGGCCCAGACUCCUACGGGAGGCAGCAGUGGGGAAUUUUGGACAAUGGGCGAAAGCCUGAUCCAGCAAUGCCGCGUGUGUGAAGAAGGCCUUCGGGUUGUAAAGCACUUUUGUCCGGAAAGAAAUCCUUGGCUCUAAUACAGUCGGGGGAUGACGGUACCGGAAGAAUAAGCACCGGCUAACUAC
rnacentral:rRNA from 1 species